rnacentral:lncRNA from 1 species
CCCGCGUCCUGCUCCGACUCUGGGACUCCCCUCAGCCCUCUCUUUGCUGUUCUUCCAGGGGUGCCAUCUGCCCCCAAGCGGACUGCUCGAGCCCCCCCUUCCUGUGGGCACGGGACCUCGUGGCUUGUAAGGCAGUUCUUUCGCAUCCACUGUCUCCAGGGACCCCGAGAACAACCCGGGGGAAUGGGAACUGGUUUCCCAUCGGACGCACGAGGCUCAGAGCCGACAGGGACCCCUCACCGCCCGGGACAGACAGACAUCACCACAACCCACAGGACAGGCUUACCGGCGCCACGGAGCAGACAGACGGAGGGAGGUCAAGAGAAUUGCUCCUUGGGAAGGCCUUCCUUCAACUGGGCAAUGCCCCUCCGGGAUUCUGAUGAGCGUUAACCGGACACUGCCUGUGCCCCAGGACCUGGCCCAGUACACACGCAUCCCCGCAUGCCUGCCUCCAGCAGCCCAGGAGUCAAUGCACUCACACCCCCGUGCUGUAAAGAAGAAGCUAGGAGCAGAGAACGAGCCGGGAUGACCCAGCGUCUUGCAGGGUCCUCUCCUCUCAAACCUGCAGCAGGACUAGCCCAUGGGGGGUCACACGGCCCCUCAAUUACGGGUGAGUCCAGGACUGGCAGCGGUUUGCCCCACCAAAGGCUAGGGUCAGUCUCGAGGGGGAGAUGCCCCAGGCUCAAACCCCAGCUCUGACAGGUUCCAGCUCUGUGUCCCUGGGCUUGUGAGUUCAUUGUUCUGUGCCUUCGUCCCCAGCGGUUAACAGGAACGGUAAUAAUGUCACCUCCCUCCUGGGAACUGGGGGAGCUGACUGGCAUUGAGGACUAAGCCUGGCACCUGGUACACAGGAAGCCCUGCUCACCAGCUGUCC